CGCGGUCUUCGGUAGUGGCUGCCGGGUUCCCCAAACCGGGGUAGACCGGCAGCUUCGACUGAUGGCCGUA
rfam:Mycobacterium sp. 852014-51730_SCH5271717 contig_54, whole genome shotgun sequence.